rnacentral:misc_RNA from 1 species
GCAAAAUCAGGAACAGGAGCUAUCCUUUAUGGCUUGACCACCAACAAUGUUUACUAUUUCACUAGAUACUACAUAAGGCUCUUUAUGAAGAGAAUAUUGUUGGGUUUUACUAGACAUUAGAAAGAAAAUUAUCAAUCCUAUAAUAUCUAAUAGUUUAGUUGCAUCCUUUGCAUUUUCAAGAUGAAUUUUUUUUUUCAUUUUAAUAUUUUGUGCAAGAAAUUUUAAGAACCAUUUGAUAAUGAUUAAACCUAUUUGCAGGCCUAUGUACUUGUCUGACUUGGCCAGUGAAAUAGAGAGGGUUGAAUGGGGUGUUUCUCCUUCAUUCCAUCUUGUUAGUUUUCCUAUUAUUUGGAUGGUCUUGGAUUCAUGAUUUUAGCAUUGCCAAAC